CUUCAGUGCUAUUCCAGACAAGGAUGUAAUUCUUCCCAGCAUAUAACAGAUGACAGUGUGGUUUACAGUUUCACUUACCAGCCCUCUGAUUUGGUUGAAGUGACACCUCGAUCUGAUCCAGCAAUUGAGUCUUCACACCAUGCCCCUGGGCAUAUGAUACACGUGUAAGAAAAAAGCAGGAGGAGGAAAUGAAAAGAAUGUCCUGUAAAGUGAACAUGAAAAUACGUUGAAAAGAAACUCUGGAGAGAGCUAGUGAACAGUAUAAGGCAAGCAUAGUAACUGAAAAGUGUGUGAUUCUAUGGCUCUGCUGGUACGUAUUCUCAGCCUGUAGAACCCUCUUCCUGGGAUGGCCUGGUGCAUGCCAUCAAGCAUUCUUACAGCUAACCUUCAGCGUGAGUUUAUGUGAGGGCCAACAGAGCUGCACACAAAGGCUGGAAAAGAAUUUGAGAGAGAAGUUUCGUGGAAGUGACUGUGUUGGAGUUAUCAUUGGUUAUUUGGAAG